GCGUUCUUGGUAUAGUGGUUGUGCCUUAGCCUUCCAAGCUAAUGAGACCAGUUCGAUCCUGGUAGGACGCUCCA
rnacentral:tRNA from 1 species